rnacentral:rRNA from 1 species
AGUGAACGCUGGCGGUAGGCCUAACACAUGCAAGUCGAACGGCAGCACAGUAAGAGCUUGCUCUUACGGGUGGCGAGUGGCGGACGGGUGAGGAAUACAUCGGAAUCUACUUUUUCGUGGGGGAUAACGUAGGGAAACUUACGCUAAUACCGCAUACGACCUACGGGUGAAAGCAGGGGAUCUUCGGACCUUGCGCGAUUGAAUGAGCCGAUGUCGGAUUAGCUAGUUGGCGGGGUAAAGGCCCACCAAGGCGACGAUCCGUAGCUGGUCUGAGAGGAUGAUCGGCCACACUGGAACUGAGACACGGUCCAGACUACUACGGGAGGCAGCAGUGGGGAAUAUUGGACAAUGGGCGCAAGCCUGAUACAGCCAUACCGCGUGGGUGAAGAAGGCCUUCGGGUUGUAAAGCCCUUUUGUUGGGAAAGAAAAGCAGCAGGUUAAUACCACGCUGUUCUGACGGUACCCAAAGAAUAAGCACCGGCUAACUUCGUG